UCUGCGGAUUCUACUUCUGCACCAGGACACCGUACAGGAGCUGUGUUCGCGGCAGGUCCGCCAGGAACCUUCUAAAGAGGAAGCAAGAAGAGGUAUUUGAUGAUACAGAGGACCUGAGGUGUAAAGUGGGACAGUUGGCUGAGGCAGUCAGACAGGCUCAACACCUGGUUAUCUACACUGGAGCCGGGAUCAGUACGGCAGCGUCCAUCCCAGACUACAGGGGACCAAAUGGGGUUUGGACACAGCUACAGAAGGGCAGAGCAGUCAGGUGAGACAGGCUGGAGU